rnacentral:rRNA from 1 species
AUUGAACGCUGGCGGCAGGCCUAACACAUGCAAGUCGAGCGGCAGCGGGAAAGCAGCUUGCUACUUUUGCCGGCGAGCGGCGGACGGGUGAGUAAUGCCUGGGAAAUUGCCCAGUCGAGGGGGAUAACAGUUGGAAACGACUGCUAAUACCGCAUACGCCCUACGGGGGAAAGCAGGGGACCUUCGGGCCUUGCGCGAUUGGAUAUGCCCAGGUGGGAUUAGCUAGUUGGUGAGGUAAUGGCUCACCAAGGCGACGAUCCCUAGCUGGUCUGAGAGGAUGAUCAGCCACACGGGAACUGAGACAAGGCCCGGACUCCUACGGGAGGCAGCAGUGGGGAAUAUUGGACAAUGGGGGAAACCCUGAUGCAGCCAUGCCGCGUGUGUGAAGAAGGCCUUCGGGUUGUAAAGCACUUUCAGCGAGGAGGAAAGGUUGAUGCCUAAUACGUAUCAACUGUGACGUUACUCGCAGAAGAAGCACCGGCUAACUCCGUGCCAGCAGCCGCGGUAAUAC